CCGCUGAAUUUAAGCAUAUAACUAAGCGGAGGAAAAGAAACUAACUAGGAUUUCCCCAGUAACGGCGAGUGAAGCGGGAAGAGCCCAGCACCGAAUCCCCCAGUGUCAUGCUGGCGGGACCUGUGGUGUGUGGGACGCCACCAGUCGCAUGUGCGGGCACCGAAGUCCUCCUGAUUGAGGCUUCACCCAGAGCGGGUGUAAGGCCUUUGCCGGUGCCUCGCUGUGCGGCCGCGAGCGUCUCAGGAGUCGGGUUGUUUGGGAAUGCAGCCCUAAGCGGGUGGUAAACUCCAUCUAAGGCUAAAUACUGGCACGAGUCCGAUAGCGGACAAGUACCGUGAGGGAAAGUUGAAAAGAACUUU
rnacentral:rRNA from 1 species